rnacentral:rRNA from 1 species
UACGUAGGGUGCAAGCGUUGUCCGGAAUUAUUGGGCGUAAAGAGCUCGUAGGCGGUCUGUCGCGUCUGCUGUGAAAACCUAGGGCUUAACUCUGGGCGUGCAGUGGGUACGGGCAGGCUAGAGUGCGGUAGGGGAGACUGGAAUUCCUGGUGUAGCGGUGAAAUGCGCAGAUAUCAGGAGGAACACCGGUGGCGAAGGCGGGUCUCUGGGCCGUAACUGACGCUGAGGAGCGAAAGUGCAUGGG